CCAGUGUACUAGAAGACCGGUGACUUAACCGCAGGGAAUAGCCGUCCAAGGUAUGACUGGUGAUUGGGGUG
rnacentral:rRNA from 1 species